UCUCCGUUGGUGAACCAGCGGAGGGAUCAUUACAGAGUUGCAAAACUCCCAACCCUUUGUGAACGAACCUGACAGUUGCUUCGGCAGAAGGCCCUUCACUGGGCAGCCCGCCGGAGACCGCCAAACGCUUUGUUUUUACACUGGCCUCUCUGAGUUAUUGUACUGUAAUAAGUCAAAACUUUCAACAACGGAUCUCUUGGCUCUG
rnacentral:misc_RNA from 1 species